AAAAACAUCCGCGUCACUAAGGGACCAAAGAAACUUAAGUUAUAAAGUGACCAUUUACAUUUAAGUAUCUUUUCCUACAAAUGACUUAAACAAUAUGUGAAUGUUUCACAGUCUUGAGUAUAUAAUAAGCUUAUUUAUUAUAUUAUAACCAACCAAACAUCACAUUAGCUGAAUAGUGAAACGCACUUAUUUGUGACGUCCCACGGGUAAAGGUACCUUAUGGCGAUUGGCGUUUACGCGAUUAUUAACGCCGCUCCAAUAGUAUUACGGCGCUAUGUGACGUAAGCGCCAGCCGCCAUAAGGUACCUUUUUCCGCGGAACGUCACAUUUAUUCUUUGGUUGUACCUAUUUAUACUUGGUCAAGCAGAUCUUGUCAGUAAAAACGGGCGGCAAAUUUGAAAAAUGUAGGCGUGAAGGGAUAUCGUCCCAUAGAAAAGUUGAAUUUCGCGCCUUUUUUUACUGACAAGAUUUGCUUGACCAGCUACACAUCUAGUUAUGUACUUUUCGAGCUCACUUAGCAAAACCUAUGGAGAAACAGAAGUAACACAGGGUGUUCUUAUUAUACAAUUUACCGUUAUGUUAAUUCUAUUUCAACAUAUUACACAAUAACACUGGGUCAAAAUAAAAAAACAGGAAUUUUUGAAAGGAAUACUUGAAUUAAUUAGUGGAACACUUAUCACCGCAUAAUAUAACAGCUAUCCUUUUCUAAUGUUCCAAGGCGCCUCCAAGAGUCCGACAUGUCUUGAGAUGAUGAGAAUUAUGUACUUUAGAAAAGUAUAGAUUACGAAAACCUGACUUUAAUAGAAUUUGGUAUUUACAGUCUGAAAAAAAAAGAGUAGAAAUUAAAAAGUUGUCCCGUUUUCUUAUAUAUAUUUUAGUUUGAAAGGGAUAUAUGACAGACAAUACAGUAUUGCCAAUUUUUCAUUUCUACUCUUUUUUGUCAGAUUAUAUCUUUCAAUCACAGACUAUCUCUACCUUUUAAAAACACUCCAAAUAAUAUAUAAUAAAUGCGAAUUUUUCACCAAUAUUCAGUGCAAUAUACUAAAAUACAGACACAUUGCUUGCCAUUUAUAUUUCUGUAAAUACGUUACUUAUUCAGAAUAAUAUCUAUAAGCAGCUAAAGCAUCACUUUAAUUUCUUCGACGGGUUCAGUCUUCAUAAGAUAUCGCCAUAAAAGCCAAAAUAAUUAAUAAUAUCUAAUUUAAGUAAUAAUUAAUAUACACAUUCAUGAAUAACUUGUAAUUUAUCCUUUUAUUUUUAAUCCAAAAAUCAAAAUUUGAUUGAUUGAAUAACGCUAGUUAAUGCCUUAAAUUGUCUACAUUUAAAUUUAUUCUGUUGUGUAACGGAAGUUAUUAGAGUCAGAUUAAGAAUAUUCUGCAGCGAUUUUGAUAGCCCACGCAGUGCAAGUGUUAUUUAUACGUUUUAAUUUCAUAGAAGUUUUACUUUUAAAAUAACACUUGCACUUCGUGGGCUAAACUAAAAAAUAAAAUCGCUGCAGACUUUUCUUGGUCUAACUCUACCACAAAUUUAAUAUUUUCCGUUACACAAAAGACUAUAUAAAUUGCAGAAAAAUAAGGCCUUAACUAAUGUUUAGAAAUCAUAUCUUAGUUUAAUCUCCUAUUGUGUUACAUAUAUUGCAAUGAAAUAUAAGAACGUCACAUAUAAAUUAUGUAAUUAAGUUAUGUGUAUUUACUUUCCAUUUUGUGACGUCACGUCAGCACCAUCUGAUUUGUACACAACAAUCUGGCAGUGGGAAUUGGAAUAUCCCCUAGCCGCCCAGAGGCCUAUUAAAAGUUCUCCCAUUCUAUUCCAAUUUGAAUCUUUAUUUUGACAAAUCAAAGUUGCAUUUGACUUGGCACGUUUUGACGUCUGGGCGGCUAGGGGAUAUCACUACAUGAAUUUUACUAUAUUUUAUAACGAUUUGUGCCGUCCCACGGGUAAAGGUACCUUAUGGCCGUUGGCGCUUACGCUAUUAUUAACGCUGCUGCAAUAUUAUUGCGGCGCUAUGGGACGUAAGCGCCAGACGCCAUAAGGUACCUUUUGCCGUGGAACGUCACAUUUAGAUAUUGUUACUAUUUUACUAUUUAAAGUUACAUUGGAUCUCACAAGUCUCACAACACAUUACAUGUAUCAUGCCACUAUAAAAAAUAGUUCAUCACAUAGAUACAACUGUCAUAUAGAAAUUACUAUUUAUUGCCUUAGCACCAGACUGAGGAUGGAAAAUGAAAGUUAACAUGGAAACUUAAUGUUACUAUCACCAGAGACCAGUUAAUAAAGAAAGACUGGUAAUCUGUAUACAAAAUUGCGUUCCGAAUUGGUGUCUAUUUAUCUCGCCUAAGUGUAUUGGAUUAACUUUAACAGUGACGAAAAAAUGUACUGAGAUUAUCAGUAUUAUUUGAGCGUUUCUUUUAUUUUUUGCCAUUUUUAUAUAUUGUGACCUUUUUUGCCACUUUUGUGUUAUUUCUAGUCAGGAUCGCGAAUCCUUUUCAUCCUUAUAGGAGAAAAAAGUGUCCAAAAAUUUCUAUAAUUUUUCAAACUUUCCUUUUUGUUACCGCCAUAGCGCCAUACAAAGUAUAUGGGGAAAUGGUAACACAAUAGGAAAAAAACUCUGGGACAUUUUUUAUCCCAUUAGGAUCGAAAGAGAUCGUGAUUCUGGCUAGA